rnacentral:rRNA from 1 species
UACGUAGGGGGCUAGCGUUGUCCGGAAUCAUUGGGCGUAAAGCGCGUGUAGGCGGCCCGGUAAGUCCGCUGUGAAAGUCGGGGGCUCAACCCUCGGAAGCCGGUGGAUACUGUUGGGCUCGAGUACGGAAGAGGCGAGUGGAAUUCCUGGUGUAGCGGUGAAAUGCGCAGAUAUCAGGAGGAACACCGAUUGCGAAGGCAGCUCGCUGGGACGUAACUGACGCUGAGACGCGAAAGCGUGGGGAGCAAACAGG